rnacentral:sRNA from 1 species
AAGUGAUCCGCGGUCGGUUCGUGAUCUUCUACAGGUACCUUAUCACGCGCUCAUGUUUCAUAUUUUGCACGGACACAACUAUAUUUUAUUAUGUUUUCAACUAUUAUAUUGGUUUUAGAUGAAAAGAUAAAUUUAUUUUACUUGUAUAGUUGAUUAAGCAUUGAAGUAUACGAUAGCGUACAAGCUUAAGGUAGUUUAAAAAUAAAAUCAAAUUAUAAUCAAAGUUCCAUGUUACAUGUUUGCGGUAGGUGCUAGCACGAUAAAAAAAAUGUCCUGAGUUGAGGCAUUCGAUGAUUAUUUAAAAGAAUAUUCACAUGAGUUUUAAACAACUUUAGAUUAGAUUCUAUCGGUCAUAUAUUAAUCACUUCUGUAGUUUUUCUACAUGUUCGUUUCAUUGUGGAAGCGAACUCAUUGCUUCCCCCCCCCCCCCCUCCCGCCCCGCUGACAGGAGCUCGCGCUGUAUUUUUUUUUUUUAUUAUUUAGCGAAACGAUAUCAAGAUCUGUCGAAAAUCAUUUUUGGUGGCUUCUUCUUAUGUGUAACAUUUUGUUUCACUUUCCCACCCGUUUGUUUAUUCGGUCAGUCUGUGUUAAUUCAAUCGCCACGUGCGACCGACAAUCGUGUGUCGCUUCAGCGCACACAGCUCAGAACAUAUAUAGCCCGGGGUCAUCAAUUGUUAUGUAAUUGAGUGACAGUUGGAAUGGUGCGUUUACUACAUAAAAUAAUAAAUAAAAAAAAUCAUCCAGAAAAAAGGUUACCGUAACUCAAUAGUCAGUACCAAAAAUAAAAUCCGUAUGAUUACAAACUGAAAUCGGUUUUUCAGUAUUCGGCGGGAUUUGAUUUUUCUUUUAACAUUAAUAUUUUUAUUGGUUUCAGAGAAUACGAUGUAAAAAUACAAAUAGUAAAUAAAUCUGAUAUUAUUUACAUUGAUAAUGUUGAAAAAUAUUUAAAAUUAAAUUAGUCACAUUCGUUAGAAAACAAUAUUAUACAAACAUCCGAUCAUUUAUUUCCUAUGUCGCAUCAUUUGUGUAAAUAAAUAUCGUCUGUACAUAUUCAUGUAGCUCAGAAAAAUUCAAAUGAUUUAACAACAAAGAAAGUUGUAAUUACUAUUUCGGAUUUUUUUUUCAAAGUAAUUUAACAUGGUAUUGAAAAGAACAAGAAAUAAUAAUGAUUUAAAUUUUUGACUCAAUAUUCGUAUAUAUUACCUAUGAAUCGUAUGGUUCUUGGUAAUAAACAAUACAAUACAAUACCGGCACUCCUUACACGUAUAACGGCGUACAGUGUAUAGAUUAUCAUGAUCUAUCAUGUACCAUACGUAAAGAUUCCCAUAAUAAUUAAUUGCAUGACUGUGUACAUUGUAGGCAAAUCCCUGUGCGUUAAUUACUUCUAAGACCUCUUGUUUUCCGUUAACAGUGGUUUAAAUAAUUAAAAUAAUUACUUGUAAAAAAUAUCUAGAAUCGGGAUUCCAAAGAACUUACUUCCCGCAAUUCAUAGAAAUGAUCAGUAUAUUUUCUUUCUAUGUUUACAUUUAAUUUUGUUCAAAUAAUUAAUAAAUUUUCUAUCAUUUAAAUUGUGUGCUUCAUCAAAUACUGAUUCCGAUUACCUUGAAGUCAUUAAUUUUUCCAUUGGUUAUUGACAAAAAAAAAAGAGACGCUUGACCAUCCAAUGAAAACAAAUAUACAGAGUUUGAUUGACAGGAUCAGUCAGGUCUCACCCGAUGUCUUGUAAGUUAAAGUUGAUUAAGGCUUGUUCCAACAGAAAUCAUGUUUUGCUAACUGUAUUUAAUAUUUUUUGUUUAUAGCGAAUUUUAAUAUUGUACAGUCAUUUUACCGGUAACGAAUCAGUAUGCGGUUUCGUCGUGCAUGCAACUAUUACUAUCGUAAUUCCAAUUUUUUUAUUUUUUGUUUAAAUCGCGUUUCUUUGUCCUCCUAAACUGUAGUAUCAAACUUCCGAAAAUAUAAAGGAUGAAUUACGGAGACAGUAAUUUCAACACCCCCUCCAUUUUCCUAGUUUCGUAUUCGUUUCCCAGUAUCGAAUUUAUCACUUCUGACCGAAUAUUUUGAGGCGAAUUGAUUUAAAAAAUAUACUUGAGGUACAUGUUAAUGGACUUAUAUGUCAUUUAAACAAAUAAUAUGAUCGUUAUUUUUAUCAUACCGUUUUCCCGUCAAAUUGAAACUGGACUUGAACAGUUUUCAUUUGCGUUACUUUAUAAUAUUGAGUUUUCAUAAAAACACUUUAUAAUAGUAAUUGAUGAUAAGUAGUUGCCAUUUUCCUUUGUUUUUCCCGUAUAUCUAUCAAUAUAUGCAGCCAAAUAAUACUUCUGUCGCAAUGAACCGAAACUAGGAAAACUACACGUGGUUCAAUCUGAUACUGGCAAAUAUUCGUUACUGGUAAAACGACUGUACCAGUACUGAAACAUCGUAUAAAAACGUUAUAUAUACAUGUACUCUGUAAUAGUCGUCUUUUAAUACAUAUACCUUUCUUUUGUUUGUUAAAAAUAAAUUCAAUUUUGU